rnacentral:rRNA from 1 species
CCUACGGGGGACUGCAGUGGGGGAUAUUGCACAAUGGGGGAAACCCUGAUGCAGCGACGCCGCGUGUGGGAAGACGGUCCUCUGGAUUGUAAACCACUGUUCCCAGGGACGAAGAUGACGGUACCUGGGGAGGAAGCUCCGGCUAACUACGUGCCAGCAGCCGCGGUAAUACGUAGGGAGCGAGCGUUGUCCGGAAUUACUGGGUGUAAGGGGAGCGUAGGCGGGGAUGAAAGUUGGGUGUAAAAACUACCGGCUCAACUGGUAGUCGCACUCAAAACUGCAGCUCUUGAGUGAAGUAGAGGCAGGCGGAAUUCCUAGUGUAGCGGUGAAAUGUGUAGAUAUUAGGAGGAACACCAGUGGCGAAGGCGGCCUGCUGGGCUGUUACUGACGCUGAGGCUCGAAAGUGUGGGGAGCAAACAGGAUUAGAUACCCGGGUAGUC